rnacentral:ncRNA from 1 species
AAUAAAAGUGUUGUGUUCAACAACCGAUUUCAUAAAUUUGCUUUCCGAGUAGCCCCUAAGACUAGGGGCUUUUUUUAUUUC